rnacentral:tRNA from 1 species
GGGGUGUGUAGCUCAGUGGUAGAGCAUUCAACUGCUGAUCGGGAGGUCCCCGGUUCAAACCCGGGUACCCCCA